rnacentral:lncRNA from 1 species
GUGGGCUUUGUGCAUUCUAAUUGGCCUCAUCUCGUGGCCGCUUGAUUUCGUAGGGAAAUGUGCUUCAGAUGUUCAUUGCCUGGUGUUUGCUGCAGAUUAAGGCUGGAAAUGAGGGUCAGUAUAGUUUCUUUUUCUAAAUUCUUCAAAUUUUCAUUUCCUUAAUUUUUCCCUCAUACCCAAUUACUACUAUUUUGUAUGUUUCAUUAAGAAUGAAGAAACACUUAGAAUUCUACACAGAUAAAUCAUAUAAGCAUGUAUGUAUGUACCUUUUCAAUGCAUAGAAUUCUACACAAGAAGCCGUCAAAACCAAACCAUUAACUCUGGUAUUAUCAUCAAUCGUACAUUAAUUAAUUUGCAAAUUCAUUCAAGAAAUAGGGAUAUUAAUUUAUCAAUAAUGCUGUUCAUAAUCAUCAUACAUACAUGGCAUCUUAUGUGGCAUAAUUUUAAUAAUUUAAAAAAUGAAUAUCAUUUAAUAAAGAAAUACUAUGUAAAAUGUUACUUAUAAUGAUUAUGCAGCCACUAACUAUGAGUAUCACUACUCUUAAUUUAUACAUGUAAAUUAAGUAAGACUUGCCUGUGCAAACAAUAUUUGCCUAUUCUUCUUGAAUCGCCAUGGAUGAUGAUGAUGAUGAGAUGUAGAACCAAUUUUGCAGAGUCAAGUCUGGCGUCGUCUCUUUAAGUCUUUGCUUCAAUUCGACAAUUGGGUUAGGAGUAUUAAUUUGAUGAACGUGGUGGACCCAUGAAC